rnacentral:tRNA from 1 species
GUGCGUGUGGUGUAGUGGUUAUCACAUCCGCCUAACACGCGGAAGGUCCCAGGUUCGAUCCCUGGCAGGCACA